rnacentral:rRNA from 1 species
GAUGAACGCUGGCGGUAUGCUUAACACAUGCAAGUCGAACGGACUCUUCGGAGUUUGUGGCGGACGGGUGAGUCACGCGUGAGAAUCUGGCCUUGGGUUCGGGACAACUACUGGAAACGGUGGCUAAUACCGGACGUGCCGUGAUGUCAAAGAGUAAUUGCCUGGAGAUGAGCUCGGGUUUGAUUAGCUAGUUGGUGAGGUAAAGGGUCGCCAAGGCAGCGCGAAGUAUCUUGUCUGAGCGGAUGACCGGCCACAACGGGAAUGAGACGCCGCCCAGACGACUACGGGAGGAAGGAGGGGAGCAUGAUGCGGAAUGGGCGAGAGAGUGACGAAGCAAUACCGAGUGAGAGAAGAAGGCUCUUGGGAUGAAAAACUCUUUACUUAGGGAAGAACAAAUUGACGGUACCUAAGGAGACAGCAACGGCUAACUACGUG